GCGGCGGAGCAUGUGGAUAAUCGAUGCAACGCGAAGAACCUUACCUGGUUUGACAUAUACCGGAAAGCUGCAGAGAUGUGGCCCCCUUGUGGUCGGUAUACAGGUGGUGCAUGGCUGUCGUCAGCUCGUGUCGUGAGAUGUGGGUUAAGUCCCGCAACGAGCGCAACCCUAUCUUAUGUUGCCAGCACGGUUAUGGUGGGGACUCGUAAGAGACUGCCGGGGUCAACUCGGAGGAAGGUGGGGACGACGUCAAGUCAUCAUGCCCCUUAUGUCCAGGGCUCCACACAUGCUACAAUGGCCAGUACAGAGGGCUGCGAGACCGUGAGGUGGAGCGAAUCCCUUAAAGCUGGUCUCAGUUCGGAUCGGGGUCUGCAACUCGACCCCGUGAAGUCGGAGUCGCUAGUAAUCGCAGAUCAGCAACGCUGCGGUGAAUACGUUCCCGGGCCUU
rnacentral:rRNA from 1 species